CCUACGGGUGGCAGCAGUGGGGAAUAUUGGGCAAUGGGCGCAAGCCUGACCCAGCGACGCCGCGUGAAUGAAGAAGUAUUUCGGUUUGUAAACUUCUUUUCUCAGGGACGAAGCAAGUGACGGUACCUGACUAAUAAGCCACGGCUAACUACGUGCCAGCAGCCGCGGUAAUACGUAGGUGGCAAGCGUUAUCCGGAUUUACUGGGUGUAAAGGGCGUGUAGGCGGGAAAGCAAGUCAGAUGUGAAAACCAGGGGCUCAACCUGUGGCCUGCAUUUGAAACUGUUUUGCUGGAGUGCUGGAGAGGUAGAUGGAAUUCCUAGUGUAGCGGUGAAAUGCGUAGAUAUUAGGAGGAACACCAGUGGCGAAGGCGGUCUGCUGGACAGUAACUGACGUUGAGGCGCGAAAGCGUGGGGAGCAAACAGGAUUAGAUACCCUUGUAGUC
rnacentral:rRNA from 1 species